AACGAACGCUGGCGGCAGGCCUAAUACAUGCAAGUCGAACGCCGUAGCAAUACGGAGUGGCAGACGGGUGAGUAACGCGUGGGAAUCUUCCUAAUGGUACGGAAUAGCCCGGGGAAACCCGGAGUAAUACCGUAUACUCCCGUGAGGGGAAAGAUUUAUCGCCAUUAGAUGAGCCCGCGUCGGAUUAGCUAGUUGGUGGGGUAACGGCCUACCAAGGCAACGAUCCGUAGCUGGUCUGAGAGGAUGAUCAGCCACACUGGGACUGAGACACGGCCCAGACUCCUACGGGAGGCAGCAGUAGGGGAUAUUGGACAAUGGGCGAAAGCCUGAUCCAGCCAUGCCGCGUGAGUGAUGAAGGCCUUCGGGUUGCAAAGCUCUUUUGGCGGGGACGAUAAUGACGGUACCCGCAGAAUAAGCCCCGGCUAACUUCGUGCCAGCCGCCGCCGUAACAC
rnacentral:rRNA from 1 species